rnacentral:rRNA from 1 species
GGGUUGUGAGGUUAAGCGACUAAGCGUACACGGUGGAUGCCCUGGCAGUCAGAGGCGAUGAAGGACGUGCUAAUCUGCGAUAAGCGUCGGUAAGGUGAUAUGAACCGUUAUAACCGGCGAUUUCCGAAUGGGGAAACCCAGUGUGUUUCGACACACUAUCAUUAACUGAAUCCAUAGGUUAAUGAGGCGAACCGGGGGAACUGAAACAUCUAAGUACCCCGAGGAAAAGAAAUCAACCGAGAUUCCCCCAGUAGCGGCGAGCGAACGGGGAGCAGCCCAGAGCCUGAAUCAGUGUGUGUGUUAGUGGAAGCGUCUGGAAAGGCGCGCGAUACAGGGUGACAGCCCCGUACACAAAAAUGCACAUACUGUGAGCUCGAUGAGUAGGGCGGGACACGUGGUAUCCUGUCUGAAUAUGGGGGGACCAUCCUCCAAGGCUAAAUACUCCUGACUGACCGAUAGUGAACCAGUACCGUGAGGGAAAGGCGAAAAGAACCCCGGCGAGGGGAGUGAAAAAGAACCUGAAACCGUGUACGUACAAGCAGUGGGAGCACGCUUAGGCGUGUGACUGCGUACCUUUUGUAUAAUGGGUCAGCGACUUAUAUUCUGUAGCAAGGUUAACCGAAUAGGGGAGCCGAAGGGAAACCGAGUCUUAACUGGGCGUUAAGUUGCAGGGUAUAGACCCGAAACCCGGUGAUCUAGCCAUGGGCAGGUUGAAGGUUGGGUAACACUAACUGGAGGACCGAACCGACUAAUGUUGAAAAAUUAGCGGAUGACUUGUGGCUGGGGGUGAAAGGCCAAUCAAACCGGGAGAUAGCUGGUUCUCCCCGAAAGCUAUUUAGGUAGCGCCUCGUGAAUUCAUCUCCGGGGGUAGAGCACUGUUUCGGCAAGGGGGUCAUCCCGACUUACCAACCCGAUGCAAACUGCGAAUACCGGAGAAUGUUAUCACGGGAGACACACGGCGGGUGCUAACGUCCGUCGUGAAGAGGGAAACAACCCAGACCGCCAGCUAAGGUCCCAAAGUCAUGGUUAAGUGGGAAACGAUGUGGGAAGGCCCAGACAGCCAGGAUGUUGGCUUAGAAGCAGCCAUCAUUUAAAGAAAGCGUAAUAGCUCACUGGUCGAGUCGGCCUGCGCGGAAGAUGUAACGGGGCUAAACCAUGCACCGAAGCUGCGGCAGCGACGCUUAUGCGUUGUUGGGUAGGGGAGCGUUCUGUAAGCCUGCGAAGGUGUGCUGUGAGGCAUGCUGGAGGUAUCAGAAGUGCGAAUGCUGACAUAAGUAACGAUAAAGCGGGUGAAAAGCCCGCUCGCCGGAAGACCAAGGGUUCCUGUCCAACGUUAAUCGGGGCAGGGUGAGUCGACCCCUAAGGCGAGGCCGAAAGGCGUAGUCGAUGGGAAACAGGUUAAUAUUCCUGUACUUGGUGUUACUGCGAAGGGGGGACGGAGAAGGCUAUGUUGGCCGGGCGACGGUUGUCCCGGUUUAAGCGUGUAGGCUGGUUUUCCAGGCAAAUCCGGAAAAUCAAGGCUGAGGCGUGAUGACGAGGCACUACGGUGCUGAAGCAACAAAUGCCCUGCUUCCAGGAAAAGCCUCUAAGCAUCAGGUAACAUCAAAUCGUACCCCAAACCGACACAGGUGGUCAGGUAGAGAAUACCAAGGCGCUUGAGAGAACUCGGGUGAAGGAACUAGGCAAAAUGGUGCCGUAACUUCGGGAGAAGGCACGCUGAUAUGUAGGUGAGGUCCCUCGCGGAUGGAGCUGAAAUCAGUCGAAGAUACCAGCUGGCUGCAACUGUUUAUUAAAAACACAGCACUGUGCAAACACGAAAGUGGACGUAUACGGUGUGACGCCUGCCCGGUGCCGGAAGGUUAAUUGAUGGGGUUAGCGCAAGCGAAGCUCUUGAUCGAAGCCCCGGUAAACGGCGGCCGUAACUAUAACGGUCCUAAGGUAGCGAAAUUCCUUGUCGGGUAAGUUCCGACCUGCACGAAUGGCGUAAUGAUGGCCAGGCUGUCUCCACCCGAGACUCAGUGAAAUUGAACUCGCUGUGAAGAUGCAGUGUACCCGCGGCAAGACGGAAAGACCCCGUGAACCUUUACUAUAGCUUGACACUGAACAUUGAGCCUUGAUGUGUAGGAUAGGUGGGAGGCUUUGAAGUGUGGACGCCAGUCUGCAUGGAGCCGACCUUGAAAUACCACCCUUUAAUGUUUGAUGUUCUAACGUUGACCCGUAAUCCGGGUUGCGGACAGUGUCUGGUGGGUAGUUUGACUGGGGCGGUCUCCUCCUAAAGAGUAACGGAGGAGCACGAAGGUUGGCUAAUCCUGGUCGGACAUCAGGAGGUUAGUGCAAUGGCAUAAGCCAGCUUGACUGCGAGCGUGACGGCGCGAGCAGGUGCGAAAGCAGGUCAUAGUGAUCCGGUGGUUCUGAAUGGAAGGGCCAUCGCUCAACGGAUAAAAGGUACUCCGGGGAUAACAGGCUGAUACCGCCCAAGAGUUCAUAUCGACGGCGGUGUUUGGCACCUCGAUGUCGGCUCAUCACAUCCUGGGGCUGAAGUAGGUCCCAAGGGUAUGGCUGUUCGCCAUUUAAAGUGGUACGCGAGCUGGGUUUAGAACGUCGUGAGACAGUUCGGUCCCUAUCUGCCGUGGGCGCUGGAGAACUGAGGGGGGCUGCUCCUAGUACGAGAGGACCGGAGUGGACGCAUCACUGGUGUUCGGGUUGUCAUGCCAAUGGCACUGCCCGGUAGCUAAAUGCGGAAGAGAUAAGUGCUGAAAGCAUCUAAGCACGAAACUUGCCCCGAGAUGAGUUCUCCCUGACUCCUUGAGAGUCCUGAAGGAACGUUGAAGACGACGACGUUGAUAGGCCGGGUGUGUAAGCGCAGCGAUGCGUUGAGCUAACCGGUACUAAUGAACCGUGAGGCUUAACCUUACAACGCCGAAGGUGUUU